CACUUAGAUGUUCUGGGCCGCACGCGCGCUACACUGAUGCAUUCAACGAGUUUCUUCCUGGUCCGAGAGGAAUGGGUAACCUUUUGAAAGUGCAUCGUGAUAGGGAUAGACUAUUGCAAUUAUUGGUCUUCAACGAGGAAUUCCUAGUAGACGUAGUUCAUCAGACUGCAUCGAUUACGUCCCUGCCCUUUGUACACACCGCCCGUCGCUCCUACCGAUUGAAUGCUCAGGUGAGCCAUUCGGACUUUCAUCAUGCUGGUUUCCAGUUUUGAUGAAGGAAAGUCUUGCGAACCUUAUCAUUUAGAGGAAGGAGAAGUCGUAACA
rnacentral:rRNA from 1 species